CUAUGGGGGGCCCAGAACACGUAGGCCUGGCAGAAGCCCAGGUGGCACAGACGUGGCCCUACAGCCGGGCUCGGGGCCCCGGGAAGCCAGAGGCUCAGGCCCUCCCAGCUGGCAUCAGGGCUGAUCGGGGCUGAGACCGGUCAUCGGAGCAGCCCAUGUCCACUGUCCACUGUCUCAGCGGCUCCCCGGGGGUCCCCCAAACCCCAACCCUCCCCCAGAUAGGAGCACAAGCAGGGUGGCCGAGGAGCACCCCCCAGCUUACCCACGGACCCUGGCUCAAGACUGGUGGCCAAGGUGCACCCUCGCUGUAGUGGGCAGCGGCCUCCAGUCCUGAUGCCACCGACUCUUGGGGGCAUGGCCAGUGCCUGAGGCGGAUGCGUGCGCACACAUGCUCCCAGGAGGUGUUUGUAACAACCCCAAACUGGAAAUGACCCAGAUGUCCAUCAGAGCGCAGCCUGUUCACCUGUUCAUCCAGCUUCAGCAAUUACAAGCAAAGCAGUUAGAACACGUGUGUCCGUGUCUCAGAGGAGCAUGUGCUGCCACUUCUCCCGGCGUGGACUGGCUGGAUCACGUGAUUGGCGUCUGAAUUUUUCAGAAACGGCCAAACUGUUUUCCGGCAUGGCUGUGCCAUUGUGCCUCCCACCCGUGAUAGGUGAAGGGGACCCAGUGGGAAGGUGCCAUCCGUGAACCAGGGAGUGGCCUCACCAGACAUCGAAUCUGCCAGAGCG
rnacentral:lncRNA from 1 species